UUUUAAUCGAGAGUUUGAUCCUGGCUCAGGACGAACGCUGGCGGCGUGCCUAAUACAUGCAAGUCGAACGCACUCUCGUUUAGAUUGAAGGAGCUUGCUCCUCAUUGAUAAACAUUUGAGUGAGUGGCGG
rnacentral:rRNA from 1 species